AACGAACGCUGGCGGCGUGCCUAACACAUGCAAGUCGAACGGGAUUCGGAGCUUGCUCCGAUGAGAGUGGCGCACGGGUGAGUAACGCGUAGAUAAUCUGCCUGAUGAUCUGGGAUAACAGUUCGAAAGGACUGCUAAUACCGGAUAAGCCCACGGAGACCUUGGUCUUUGCGGGAAAAGGGGGGGACCUUCGGGCCUUCCGUCAUCAGAUGAGUCUGCGUACCAUUAGCUAGUUGGUAGGGUAAAGGCCUACCAAGGCGACGAUGGUUAGCUGGUCUGGGAGGAUGAUCAGCCACACUGGAACUGAGACACGGUCCAGACUCCUACGGGAGGCAGCAGUGGGGAAUUUUGCGCAAUGGGGGAAACCCUGACGCAGCAACGCCGCGUGAGUGAUGAAGGCUCUUGGGUCGUAAAGCUCUGACAGAGGGAAAGAAGUGUAUGGUGGUUGAUACCCAUUGUACUUGACGGUACCCUCAAAGGAAGCACCGGCUAACUCCGUGCCAGCAGCCGCCGUAA
rnacentral:rRNA from 1 species